rnacentral:rRNA from 1 species
UUUUUACGGAGAGUUUGAUCCUGGCUCAGGAUGAACGCUGGCGGCGUGCUUAACACAUGCAAGUCGAACGAUGAAGCCCAGCUUGCUGGGUGGAUUAGUGGCGAACGGGUGAGUAACACGUGAGUAACCUGCCCUUAACUCUGGGAUAAGCCUGGGAAACUGGGUCUAAUACCGGAUAGGAGCGUCCACCGCAUGGUGGGUGUUGGAAAGAUUUAUCGGUUUUGGAUGGACUCGCGGCCUAUCAGCUUGUUGGUGAGGUAAUGGCUCACCAAGG